rnacentral:tmRNA from 1 species
GGGGCUGCACUGGUUUCGACAGGGAUGCUUGCCUUGCUUAGGCUGCAGUCGUGCGGUGACGUAAUCACCAACCAAAAUUAACUGCCAAUAGUAGUUAUAUGAGCGUUAACAACGCUCAAGCUUACUGCGCUGCUUAAUUGCAGUUUCCGCUUUUAGGAACCGACCGCUAAGGCCGGACAGUACGGAUCUCAGGGUUUAGCCCAUCACGCCUGAUUAAUCUGUCAUAACAAUGGGAUAAGUUCUAGUAGUAGACAAGUUAACUAGAAACGAAAAUUUGUUUGGCUCGCAAUUCACGUUUUGUCGAUAUUGUUGUGAAUUGUUAAAAGUCAAUGUCGUCUAAACUGUAGAUGCCUUUGACAGGCCGUCCUUGGACACGAGUUCAAUUCUCGUCAGCUCCACCA